ACGGGAUCAGGAGUUCGAGACCAGCCUGGCCAACAUGACUCCAUCUCAAAAAAAAAAGAAAGUAUGUAUCCUGAUUGCAUGGUUGUAGGUUCUGUGUGUCAAAACUCACAGAACUGUACA